AUCGGUAGACGCUACGGACUUAAAAUCCGUUGACUUUUAAAAUCGUGAGGGUUCAAGUCCCUCUAUCCCCCCAA
rnacentral:tRNA from 1 species